rnacentral:snoRNA from 1 species
UUUCCCAUUUGACUACCACGUUUUCUCCUGUAGUAGAUUUUAGUGGCUAUGCUUGUGGGAUAGAGUAAAGUUGCCAUGAUCUGAAGAGGGAGGGUUUUUCAGUGUCCUCCUCCUAUAUGAAAUGGCCAGACAGAAAAGC